GGUGGCUGAGUGGUAAUACAGCGCUUGCCUUGCAAGCAUGAGGCCCUGGGUUCAAUUCCUCAGCACCA
rnacentral:tRNA from 1 species